CAGACGGCGCUGCCCGGGCUGUGCUCCGCCGCUCCCCUGUUCCGCUUCCUGCGGGAGCGUUCUCCGGGCCCGCAGCCAUCGCCCGGCGCUGCCCCCACCGAGGAGAGUGGGCCCGGCGGGGCCAUGGCGGACGAGGCGCAAGGUGAUGUGCACAUGGUAGAAGCAGAUGUUGUUCUUCGUGGUGGCCAGGAGGGAAAUGGAGACCCUAUCAUGGCUCAUCCACCUGAAACAGAUAGUGACAACACGUUGCAGGAGUGGCUGAAAGAGAUUGUCAACACGGAUAAAGGCAUCAAGCUGGAUUUUAAGAGGUAUAUAAAGGAGAAAAAGAUUUUUAUAUUGUUUGUGUUCUUGCUAAUAAAAGUUUUACAAGCAGAGCUAACUAUCUUUUUGGCGAUGGUAGACCAAAGUUUUUCUUAUAGUGCAAUUUAGUGUAAUGCAUUUUUUCCUGAACAGAAAAUGAGCAAACAGAGUUAGAAUUACUAAAUGCAUCACAGAAAUAAAAGCUUUAGAAAUGUUUUGAGCUAUAAAUAAUUAUUUCAUAUUCGGUGAAUUAGUUACUGAGUUGCUAAUGAGCAGAGUUUUCCCAUCAGGAAAACUGAAAUGAUGGUACCUAUCUGGAAAGCUUGUGGAAAGUUUUCUGCUUGUGGAAAGAGACUGGGAAAGACAGCCUUCCAGCUGGGAAGCCCAGCAGUGUCUCCCAGGCUGCAAAUGGGGCUGAGAUGGCAUCUCUGCUUGGCAGCACACAAGUCUCUUCUCCUGCUUUCUUGGUGGUGUUCUCUGCCAUGGAAGCGCAAUCAAAAGUCAAGCUUUUUCAAGGAGCUUCUGAAAAGCUUGCUGAAAAGCCAUAUCUGAAAUGUGCUGAAGUUUACUGUAAUUUAGAAACAUCAUCCCGUAGUAGCAUAAAUAUCUGUAUUUUCCCAGAGCUGUUUAUUUUUCCCUUCCCAAAGGAGAGGAAUUCUGUUUUCUGAUUAACUCCAAUACUGAUAGUCUCAGUUCCAGAAUUAGGUAUGCUCCUUUGAAUAUCUGAUCUUGUAACACACAACAAUGUGGUAUUAGAUUUCUUCUGCAUGGUUUGUAAUACAGAAAAUUGUUCUUGCUUUUUGUGUGGUAGGGUGCAUGUAUAUUGAAGUAAAUUCAGUUUCUUUGGCCUAACUUAUGAAUUAAAAUUUUCAGGGGUUCAUUUAGAAUUUUAACCAUUAGCUGUUCCAUUGCGUGUAACGGAAAAUACACAUGAAAACCCCAUAGAUUUCCUUGAAAAGCUAGCAGUGGGGUUCAAAGUGAGUUGAGAUUUUCAGACAUACACCUUUGCAAGCCCUGACUUUAGCUUUGUCUGAAUUUGCAUGUACAACAUCUAUUUUUGCAGCAGAUGGAGAAUCCACCUCCACGUUAAAAAAAGCUUCAUCAGUACCUAAGUAUGCUAUAGAAAUGCAAAACAAAAUGCUAGACAGUUGUAAAAUGUGAUUUGUACCUGUUGUUCUCUGUAACGCAAUCACAGUUUUCACGUAAAAGUUCAUGAAAAUGAAAAGAUGUGGACAGAUUAAAUCCUUUUAUUGUUACAGAGUCUGUAGAUGUCUGCCAGGACAGAGAAGGGAAAGGAGAAGAGAAGCAGACGUUUGUUUGGGGGUAUUUGUUACGGUUUGGUUGGUUUUUGUUGGGUUUUUGGAGCGGGGUGUUCUUUUUAAUUAUUGUUUGAAUUGAUUUUAAAAUUACCUACUUCUUUUCACAAGGAAUUUCCAGCCGAGUGCAGUGAUUUUAAAAGAGCUUUUAAAAUUAUGUUGCAUUAUAAAAGUCUAGUUACAUAAAAGCAUAUAAAAAAUAUAAGUACACAAUGCAGUUGUAGCCAAAUGAGUGAUGUUCUUUGGCAUUUCUUUGUAACUGGGAAGAUAGGGAAGCAGUUAACCAUCAUCUGUGUUGUUCAAAUAGGCACUCUUAACAGUGCCUUCUCAUCCCCUUCGUUUUCCUGGUGCUCCUGUGACACCCAGGGGGACCAGUUUAGGAUGUGGAACUGGGAAACUAAGUCUGCAGAGCAACAUGAAGAACUUUGCAUUGGCUCAGCUCUCUGUCAGGUCUGCAAGAUUUUGAGGAAAAAGCUGGAACAUGGCUCAUUCAGAGUUUGCACAGCUCUCGGAGAAAACAUGGGUCAUUGCUGUUAGUAAGGAAAUCACAACUCUGGUCAUAAUGAUUUUAAAUUCCUGAAUGUUAUAUAGAGCAUUAAUUAAUUUGCUGUGAGAGAAAAAUACAUAUUUUAUUUGCAUUCAUACCCUUUCCCCGUUUUCCCACAUUUCCUUUCCUUCUAGAAUAUUGCUGGUUUCAAAAGUUUUAGUAGGAUAGAGAAAGGUUAUUGUUUGCCCUGUAGUUAUGCUUUUUCUUAUGAUUUGAGAGAAGAGUGAGAAUAGGUGACUUAAGUUAUCUUAUUAAAUGCUUACAAGUGGUGCUGCAUUGGUUGCUCAAGUGACUACAUCUCAUACUUAGUAACUACCUGUAGGAUGAACAGCUAACGGACAGACUUCUUCAUGCUGCCACUAUUAUGCCAGGCUUUUGAGCUGUGGGAACAAGCCCUGCCACGGACAAAAUGUUCAUAUGGGUGCCCUUUCACUCUGCUAAAAUUAUCUGAAAAUGUUCAGGUUUUGACUUUUUAUUCUCCUAGUAUAGGUGCAUCAACUUGUGCAGAUGUGAAGGUAACUUUCAGUCUGUUGGCUGGAUUUGAAAUAGUGAUAAAAGCUUUAACACUGAAAGUGCUAUUAGGGUUGGGAAAGAUUACUUUUACCCUUUGAAUAGCAUAUAAACGUCAGUGAUAUAUAGAGAAUAAAUAGAAUAAAUAUAUUUAAAUUCAUUUAUUUCUAAUUUUUCGGAUUAGAAAGCCACAAUUACUAGUUUGUGGCUAACUUCACGUAAUACUAUGAAUGCUAUCUUCAGCCCAGUAGUCUAAUCUGAACAAAUCCAGUGGCUUCCUGGAUUAAAAUCCUUUGCAAGCAUUCAAUAUCAUCCAAGUCUUAACAAGUUACAAGUUAGAAGAGCCAUGAGGUAAGAGUUCGUACUGGGAGGCAGGGAGAUGAGAAACUUCCAGUACUGUUUACCAGCAGUAAUAGUCACCUGAUGGUAGAAAGGGUCCUCAGGCUGACAGGUACAGCUUCAUUGAAAUAUCUAUCUUGUGUAUAUACUGUACAUUUCCCAUCUUCAGUCCAAGUGAAGUGUCUCAUCUCACUCAUGUGUUACUGGUACAGCCUAGAAGCCGUACGGCCUUCCUUGGAGCUUCUUGAACACAUGAAGCACCACUUGAGGCGACCCAUUUGGAUCAAUGCAGACAUCCUACCGGGACCUAAUGGCAGUAGCUCUGUAGUGGAUGCAAAAGGGUUCAUCGCCACUGUCACCUCAUUUUUCCCAAAUGUGACCUUAUCACUAGGGUGGACAACUGGCUGGCACCCUGACAAGCACAAUAAAGGCUAUGACUGGAUGAUGGUGAAGGAAAUGGCUCAGAUAUGCAACACACUUCUCCAGCCUGUAACUUUCCCUGUAAGAGCAGCACUGGUACGAGAGUCAGUAUCUGAGCUGUGCUGGUUAAUCCAGCAGUCGGAUAGGUACAGUCUCACUGUUUGGACAGGAAAAGAAGAUGUGUAUUUUGUAGAAGAUUUGCUUUACAUCCGAGAAAACUUCGAUAAAAGUAGGAUUUAUUAUGACAUUUUAGAGCCACAAAAUUCUGAAUUCAGAAAAGCCAUAGUAGAAUAGUAAAUAGGGAAGCAGUAAAUAGGGAAGGCUAAUACUUUGCCUCUUUAAACGUGAAGAUUUGUUGGUCAAAGUGUGUUUUCCUUACUAAAAGAACACAGCUGAGGAUAUUGGAGUUUUUGUAUAACACCUUACUGAAAGGCUUCUCAAAUAGAAAUUUAGUGCCUUCUUAAUAGUUCCUUACUCAUCAUCUGCAUGUCCCCUCUCAUUUAUCCAGGGGCGAUUUUUAUCUUAUUUACCUAGUAAAGGCUAGUCAUAUUACCUGAAUGUUCUAGCACUUCUUCUCUGCAAGCAUAUAAAGUGGAGAAUGGCCCCAGCUUGUACUUGUGGACCAAGGUGAUUUGCUGCUAACUGCUUUCAUGUAAGCCAAAGUUUUUGGGACUCUCAGUCUCUACUAAAGCCUGUUUCUACUUUUAUGGGGGAGGGCAAGAAUCAGGACUGUGUUAAUUACAAAACUAUGCAGUUCCCAAAGGGGUUAUUUUGUAGCUCAUCAUGAUACACUCCAUUUUUAAUGUCAUUGCAAUUUGAUAAUGUUCUCACUCCUGUGUUUGCAGUGAAGUAGCAUGUUAGUACUUUCUUCUAGCUACGAUUACUUCUGAUAUGUCUGCUGCAAAUUACUGUAAUUAUUGUAUGGUGACCCUGAGGAAAUACUCACUCCACACCUCAAUUACUCUAGAUGAGGUGUUAACGUCUCUGUUCCUUACUCAGGAGCAGUUAACUCCGGCAAAUGGGUGCAAUAAGCAGCUGGGGGUAACGUCUCAGACUGCCACAGCAGAGCUUAUUCAUUAAAACCUCAAAGAAAGCAGCAUUGGUUUUGAUUGUGUUUCCAGUGUAAUUCGAAGUAUCAUACCCUAUCAUCUUCUGAAUUUUGAACAUCUAAGUUUUUGGGGCAGUUUUAUGUUGUUUUUUAUAUCCUUAUGGCUUGGCUCCCUUCAAUUUUUCAGUGAUCCUGAAAAGAAAAAAAAAAAAAGCUGCUGCUUUUGCUGACCAAUUUUGAGUCCUUGCGUUGCUGUAGCAGGAAAAAAAGUACUGCAUAAUGCAGAUUCGUAGUCUCAGUGGGGAUAUGUCCAAGCAGAAUUAAAAUGUGUUUUAAAAAGGUGUUCUUGUUACUGUGUUUUUAAAAUGUAUGUUGAAGUCAGGUUUGUAUUUUAAAAUGGGCUGGCUUUUGGAAGAGAAGACUGUAACUCACGCCAUCGGGGGCAGCUUAUGGAAGUGUUCAAAACCACUGAUGCCUUCAGGAAAAACAUACGGGAAUUAAUUAGAGUUCAUCACUGUGCGCCCAUGCCUGGAUUUCAGGAAUUUGGGAAUCUUAAGGUCUUAGCAUGGUUUUUAAGUGGCUGAACAUAAAUUCACUUUUUUUUUUUUGCUUGGGACACAACCUCUGAAUUAGAUCUGCAAUGCAGUGCUAGCACAGGAAGUGCCAUCUUUAUGCUUAAGUUUAAAGUAAGUGGUUUUGACUUCAUGCUGGUAACUCUCAGUCCUCUGGCGCUGCCUUAGGGGUUGGGCUGUUGGUACAUUGGCUUCCUGAACCCCAGUUCAGAUGCGCAGCGUGGCUGAGGUGAGCCGUGCUUUGACCUGGAGGCUGGACAAGACCUCUAGAGGUUAUUUUUUUUAUGAUAUAAUGACAAAUUUCACCAUUUACAUAGUACCUACUGCCGUAGAGGAUUAAUUCAGACUCAGAAGGAGAUCUAAGUAAUUCUGUAAUUCUGUUUGGUUACUACAAGCUUACUUUCAUCUUUGUUGAGCUUUAACGGAUGCUUGCAAGGAAUUUAAGUAAAGAAUUUGUGCAACAUGAUGGCUGCUGUUGCCAGGGAGCCUCAGUACCUAACUGAAGACCUCAGGUUCUGUUGCCCAUUCUGUGCCAGCAAAAAGAAGGAAGCUUGUUUUAGUUCUGUAAAAUGACAAAGCCAAGGAUGUUCCUAUGAGGUCUGUGCCAUUUUCAACAUACACAGUUGGCCAAAGAGAGGUGACUCCGGUAAUAGGUGUCCUUUGGGGAACAUAUAUUUUGCAUAUGUAUAUAUAUUUUAAAAUAAGGUUUAAGUCAUGUAAAGGAGUAUCAGACCUCUUUUGAAAAGGAUUAAUAGCUGGGUAUUUUAUCAGAACAAUUAGUCGCUAGAAUUGGAAUUUUCACUCUGAAAAAAACAAAGUGGAACUGAUUUCUUAAGAUUUACCCUUGCCAAACCUGGUCUCCUUGAAGGUAUUACAGUGCCAGCUGAAAAUGUGUGGCUGGGAAAUAUUUUACAACAGGCAUUCCUCCCUCUAAUUCUGGAUUUCAACAUUAAUUAGAAGAAGAAUAGUAAUACAGUGUGAAUGUCCUUAUAAGGAUGUGACUAAUACUUGUGACUAAUGUUGGCCUUUCUGUAACAAUCCAUGCUCUUGUGAUAUGAACCAAAUAGCCAGCCAGUGGAAUAACGGUUUACUAAUGUAAGAAUCCAUUCAUGUUUAAAUACCUACUUUUAGUUGAAAAAUUAAAUAGUUGUACUGUAUAACAGAUGCAGAAAGAUGAAGGUCUUAACAAGGAUUCAUGAUGGAGGGAAAAAAGAGGGAUUUAGUGACUGUUUUAGUUACUAUUCUUCUUGUGUAGCUGCAUCAAAAUAUGGCAGUAUUCUUUUGGAAGCACUGCAUAAUUGUCAAAGACAAAAAUCAAAACAAAGCAACUCCAAAUGCCUUUCUCCUUAAGGUAAACAGACAAAAAGUGCAGGGAGGGCUAGAUUGAAACUGUUACUUAAACUCUGAAAACUGCUUUUUUACAUCAUUCUUGUGUAGUGUCUUGCUGUCCUUACAGUUCUUAAACCAGAAUACGAAGGUUUUUCAGAUGGUCACUGCCUUUUAUGAGGCCACCACUGCUUGUGUAGCAGUUACUUUCAUUGUAUGGUGUCAUGGUUUAAGCCAGCCCAGGACAUACGGUUUCACACAGCAUUUUGUGGAGAAAAUUAAAACCAAAAGUAAAAAAAAACCCUAAUGUUUUUCACCUUUUUAAACUUUGAUUCCAAAUCAGUCUUCUCAUCAGUGAUGUGUUUUACUGAAAGCUGUAACCUGGGUUGGCAAGAGUGCUUUCUCACAGACAUAUCACUACUGUUUUAUAUAGUUCUUAACUGUUUAAGGGUUUUAUGGCAUUAAUCUGUCUAUGAGAUAGAGUAGAUGACUAACACUAAUUUUUCACUGUAAGGUGUGAGAACUAGCCCAGGUUCUUAAGAGCACCUCUGAAGAGAAAAGGUUUCAGCUUGUGACUUUUUUUUACCAAGACGCAUAAAGAACACCUGCUUUUGUUGUUUGUAAACUUAAAAGUUUCAGGGAGGUAUUUAACAUUAGAAAUUCAGGUCUUGCUUCCCACUAGAGCACAAGUCUCAUAAGGAGCAGCUGAGGGAACUGGGGAUGUUUAGUCUGGAGAAGAGAAGGCUCAGAUUGGACCUUAUCGCUCUGUACAACUACCUGAAAGGAAGAUGGAGCCAAGAGGUGGCUGGCCUCUUCUUCCGAGGAACAAGGGAUAGGACAAGAGGAAAUAGCCUCAAGCUGCACCAGGGGAGGUUUAGACUGGAUAUUAGGAACAAUUUCUUCCCCGAAAGGGUGUUCAGGCAUUGGAACAGGCUGCCCAGGGCAGUGGUGGAAUCACUGUCCCUGGAAGUGUUCAAAAACUGUGUAGACGGGGCCCUCGGUGACAUGGGUUAGUGGUGGCCAUGGCAGUGCUGGGGAACGAUUGGACUUGAUGAUCUUGAAGGCCUUUUCCAACCUAGUUGAUUCUAUGAUUCUUUGCUCAGACAACUGGAAAAUGACAAGGAUUACAAAUUCAGACAUCAUCUCCACUGAAGUGGAAGCACAGUCAGCCUCUGAGAGAGGGAAAGAGCCUCUCUCACACAAUACUUUGUACAAAUUUAGCCAUGUUGGAACAAGUCUUACCAACUGUUUCAGUUUUCUUGUAUAGAGACAGCCUGAGAAACACUUAGGAGCCAGUAUGUUUGGUAGUGACUCAGUGUCUCCUAAGUAGUGUAUAAAUGGAUGUAUCUAUUUGCAUGCCCCCUGAAUGGGGAAAAAACUUUUAUUUGUGCAUCGUAACAACAUCAAGAGAGCAAAAGUGAAUUGUUUUUCCUUUGAAGGAAAUGCAACAAUAAACAGUAACAUUAAACUUUCACAUUAUUUCUGCAUCAAAAUGAAGCAUAGAAUAUUGGCAACACCACAGAAGAGCUUCACUUCUUCAAGACAUUUGCAUUUUCCCCCAUUUUCUGAGCAUUUUGCAAGAAAAAUGCCGUUUCAGUUGAGGGAGCAGAUCCUGUGUAAUCAAUACAGCAGAUAUUUGGCUUUAUACCUCCAGCAAAGACACCAAUAACAUUUGAUCUGUGAGAUGAUUUUUUUUUUCCCUAAAAAAAAGAAUUUGGUUUUUUUUAAAGAUACAUCUUUAACUUCAAAUAUUUAACUUCAUUAUGAGGUGAACAGAUCACAAAUUUCCCUUUCUUUUUAUAAUAGCAUGAAAACAUUUGAAAAGUCUGUUGUGCCUGUACAUGGUGUUUACAGGGACCAGUAUGUACCCAGUUAAUAUAAUACUGACAUAUGUUCUUCCACAUCAUUUCUCUGCCAUAAAAAGAUUUCUAUAUA